rnacentral:rRNA from 1 species
CCCUUAGACGUUCUGGGCCGCACGCGCGCUACACUGACCAGUGCAACAAGCAUCCGUCCUUGGCCGACAGGCUCGGGCAAUCUUUGAACGCUGGUCGUGAUGGGGAUAGACUUUUGCAAUUUUUGGUCUUCAACGAGGAAUUCCUAGUAAACGCAGGUCAUCAACUUGCAUUGAUUACGUCCCUGCCCUUUGUACACACCGCCCGUCGCACCUACCGAUUGAAUGGUCCGGUGAAGCCUCCGGAUUGGCGCGCACCUCGGUGCCGCCGAGAAGUUGGCUAAACCUUACCAUUUAGAGGAAGGUGAAGUCGUAACA